CUCUUCUCCUCCACCUGCAGGCUCUUCUCCUCCACAUGCAGGCUCUCCUGCACCCCAGGUCACUACCUUGGUUUCCUUGGGUUCCUCCAGCACUUGCUGCACAUCCUGGCCAGGAGUCUCAGUAUCUGUUCUUCCCUCAGCCAGGUCCUUCACAUCACUGGGGCCUCAAGUCAAAGGCCAUCUCCCAAGACGCUUUCCCUGGGAAGUCACCAGGUUUUGUCUCUAGCUGCCCUGCUUUGUCCCCUUCCUAUGCAUUGUUUUUUUUUUUUUUCUGGUUUAUGACAGCCUUCCUGCAGAGGACAAUGGCUCCUGGGCAGCUGCGACCUGCCCUGAAUUUCCAUUCCUUUACCCCAGAAUCUACUAUAAAAUAGAGCCUGGUGCAUUCAAUAAAUAUUUGUUGAAUGAAUAAAUAAAUGUUAUAAUCCCCAGUGACAAAGCAAAAUCCAUUAUUAUGUGUGUUAAAUCUUUCCUUUUCUAUGUUUUCAGAAUUAGAUUGAUAGGAACAGAAAGAAAGGGUUGAUUGUUUUCUUAUACUCCUUCUCUCUUGCUCUCUCUCUCUCUCUCUGAAAAUUACAACGGGAGAAAAAAAUAAGAGGAAACUAAAUGUGCACUGUUUCUUCUAAGAACAUACUCCAAUUAGUGGCAAUACUGUGAAAAGUAGGCAAAUGGAGAAAAAUUCUUUCCUCCCCCUAAACAAUCUUCCACUUUUCCCACUUUUCUCUCUCCUUGAUUCUCUGUGUAAGGAGCUGGUAUAACCAUGAUUCAGAAAACUCCAACCCAGCUGCAAAUGAACUAAUCAUUUGUUAGGAAAUAGACCUUAAAUAAUGAAAAUAGACUUUCCCCCUUCCAACUUCAAAAGUAUUUCACUGUUUUUCUCUUCUUCUUCCAACUCCAUAAUCCUCUGCUCCAGCAAUGGCCCCUCCCCCUCCUCCCCAGGUGGUCUCUUUGUAUUAAUGCAGGGUCAUAGCGAAGCAGUUGCUUCUGAUAUUCUACCAAAUUCCAUUAAAAAUGAAACAUAUAUGUUACUCCGAUUUUAUGUCUUGUCAGUCAGAAGCAUGGGACACAUUUUGCCGAAGGGGAAAGAGCCAUGGAAGCCAAGGGGUUAAACUCAUUUUUAAUUUGCCCACAGAUGGAUGCACCCAGCUUUUCCUUUAUCUGAGAAGCCUACAUCCAUAGGACUGCAAUAACAAAUAUCCAGGAAGCUGCAUUCACUGUGAAAUUUAACAAAGGGAAUUAGCCACAGUAUGUGAACAGUAACUUUAAAUAGCAGAAGCGACAAAGAGAACUGUGGCUGAUAAAUGAAAACUAGUAAUUACAAUAUUAGUACCCUUUCCACAUUAAGUUUCUAAGCCACAUUAAAAGGUUGCUCACAAUUCCACUUUUCCUUUCUCUCAUCAAAAUAGAGCAAAAUAAAAUAUAAUAGAGACAAAUUGCCAGCAUAAAAUAUUCUUACACAUAAUGCAAUUUCUAACUGUAACAAUUAAUUUUAAAAUAUUUUUUAAAAACUUAAAAAUAUUUUUAUAAAGAUUAUUUUACCAGGCCAGCCCCAAGGGAAGACGCGAAACAAACCUCAUUUUUCUCAGCCUUCAUCCAGGAGGAAUGGACUGUAGACUUUCUCUUUAAUAUUUAAUCUAAACUUUAUUAAUUUUUUUUAAAAUAAAAAGAUUCUGUGUCUAAUUUAUGCUCACCUCCAGGACUGCUCUAAAGCAUGGCUCAUGUGAUGUAAGGCCUACAUAAAAGGCCGUAUUAUCUGGAGCUUUCUUUAUUAUCAUUUUAGUUUAGCCAUAUUUUUCUUUCUUAGCUUUAAAAAGCAUUGAUCUGAAACAAGCCCUCGCACUGAAACCGUCUACACUGCAAGAACGCUAUGGAAAGGAAAGCAGAAAAAUAGCAGGGCUUCUAUUCUCUGAAGACCCAUCACCAGGAGCUGCAGGCUACCAUCAUUCCACUUCCCACCAUUCAGCUGAUGAGAAAGUGAAAAGCGUGCCCCAAGAAUGGUUUUCCAUAUCAACAGCCUUCAGAAUGAGAUGCACUGGGCCUGUCUCAUCUAGUCCUCUGUAGUUGAUUCUUCUCACCUGAUGAACUGUUUUCAUUCUUGGCUGAACAUUUUAAGAAGGCCAAAAAUAGACACAUGGGUAUCCUAGCAUAAUAAGUGAAAUGAAAACCAAUAGGAAGCUGCAGAUGCUUAGAAAACUAAUCACUUAAUGGACACAUAGUGGACCUUUAAUCCUUUGAAGGCCUGUCAAGGAGAUGAAGUAGACUUAUUCUGUGUGAUUCUAGAAGGGUAGAACUAAGAUCAACAGGUGGAAGUUGCAUGAUGAAAUAUUAUAACCCAACAUAAGAAUUUUCUCGCAAUUAGACUCGUUUAAAAAAUAAAUCGAUCUCCUUGCAAAGUAGGCAACUCCUGAUCCCUGGCAGGGCCCCAGAGUCAUGGACUGAUGCCACUGUCCGGUGUACUACUGACUACUGAAAAGUUUGGUGCCUUACCAUGUGGCAGAGAUUGCUACUUGUCCACAGAAAUUCAGCCUUUCCCAACCACAGAAAACACUUGUCCCUAAGAAAUGGCUGCUGAGCUGGCGACCCCACUUCUCAGCCUCGUUUCCAUACCUCUGGGGUCUUGUGAGACGUUCUCACCAUGAGAAUGUGAGCAGAAGCCAUAUUGUCAUAUCUAAGCCAUAGUUGUUAGGGAGCCGGUGGCCAUCUUCACCCUCUCCUCCUCCAUCUGCGGUUUGGAUGCUGACGACUUGGAGUCACAGGAAGGAAGGAGGCUCAGGCCUUGAAAGCUGCUCAUAGACCAAGAACACGUGCACUAGAUGGAUAUAUAAGCCAGAGUUAAGCCAGUGUAAUCUGGGGAUUUAUUUAUUUUUUACAGCAGCCACCAUUAUCCUAAUAAUGUCUUCUUCCAAAUGUAAAGAGAGUGUUGAUUCUCAGUAAAUAUGUGUUAUUUCUGAAAUUUAUGAAUUACAUAGGAAUUCUAGAAAUUUCUCUCUUCAGGCAUUGCCACUAGGACAAAUGGUCAGGAAUCUGACUUGUUUUAGUCCUAGUUAAGAGCCCCUGUCGUGGAUAGUCUAAGCCAAACCUUCCCAAACAGCUAAAAUGGAAGCUGUAAUUCAGCAGGCACAUAGUUCCUUACUUCACACGCCCUCUGAGUCAUUUUUAGACCUUGGGCACCAUAUAGACCUUGAGCAGCUUGGGGGACACUGGAUCUUGAAUUGUUUCCUAAUUACUUUAAUUUUUAUUGAAAAAAAAUGGGGCCACAGGCAACAAAAGGGAUCCUAAUUGGGACUAGGAUGGUAAUUCCGCUAUUGGGCGAGAGACAAGUAUAUUAACCAGAAACCAAGACUCUUCCUGAAGGACAACUGAGAACAUUUGCCUCCUCAGACUUGCCAAGGCAUGACAGGUGUGGUCUGUGAAACUGGGUUUCUUCCAUGCGCACCUCAUUCUUUUUUUCCUUUUUAAAGGACAUUUAAUUUCCAUGUAACUGUGACGGCUGGAGUCACCCUUAGCACCAAAACAGCACGGGUGGUGAAGGUGCCACCUCAAUUAAACAUUCAUAUCUUUAUACCAUGCUCUGUGGCCAUUAGGAAUUAUGUAUUGAAAUUGUUUGGGUUGAAAAUAUGGGUCAUCUUUUGUAGAGCAGGGGGCCUGAGGCAACAAGAGGUUAAUCCUUUGUCAGGGGCUGUGUCAACCCACGGCAAAACCUGGUUCAGAAGCCGACGUGUUUAUUUCCCUUUGCCGCACUCAGUUGGACUCAGAGAAUGUUACUGCUAAAAGAUCAAACCUUUAUCUCAAGCCAGAUUCCUGCAGCGGGAGGGGAGGGGAUGAACAACCAGCUUGUUUUUCUGUUGUGUGCUUAGUCUAAUCUAUACAUUCACACGGAUCCGUAUUUAGAACAUGUCUGGUAAUAGAUUUUUACGUCCAGAAUAGCAUAUGCAGUUCUUUAUGAAGAUACCGAGAAGGAGCAGGGAUAUUUUUCCUCCGAGUUCUUAUCAGGGGCUCUAGUUCUCGCUGUUCCUCUGGAUCAGGUGGGGAAGAACCUGGCUGCUGUGGAAGUUGAUGCUGUCUGUCAGGGAUGCAAAGCGUUGGAGUCUUUCUCAUGGUUGCCGGGCGGGGUUUGGCGGGGAGGCGGUCUGUCAUCGGCAGGCAGAAGUAGAACUCGUUUGGGGCCGUGGUGAGUCGAUGCUGUCGAUUUGGUUUUGAGUUGAGGUUUAGUUUUUCUUUGACUACAUAGAUGGCUAUCCUGGAUCAUGAAGCCUUCAGAAGUGGAGUCGGCACUUUUCCCUUAUGGGAAGCGUGAGUGGUGCAGGGGCUGAGGAGCUGAACUCUGUGACCCCUGGGGUCCUUCUUGUGCUAACAUUCUGCGAGCUAGGACUCCAAACUGCACUCAUCAUGCUGCCCCGGCCAGAGGCACUGCUAAUUUCGAUGAGUAUAAUUAAAAGAUUCCCUCCAUUGAGAGCCGCCUGCUUCUUGGAGAAGCCCAGCACUGGAGCUUUGUGAUUCUCCAGUGGCCGGCCCAGGUGUGGCAAAAUUAUUAAGCCAACGUCACCAACUACCCUGCUGCCACCACGUGGGUCUCUCACCUAAAUACCUACCUCCACUUCUUUGAGAACGGCCCUGGUGGUUCUGGCGGCCCGUGGGGCCCCUCCCUGGGUGCUCGGCCACGUGUGGCUCUGUGUGGCUGCCCUGCAUCGGGGCUGCGGGGUCCAGGAGGAGUCGGUGCCUCCGGACAUGUCCCUCUCCGCUGUGUCUGAGGAUGCUGCAGGGGUGGCUGUGCUGUGUGUGAACGUGCAAACGUGCGACUACAGCUGUUGUGGGGGCUCCUCAGUCCUUCCUCGGAUCUGGGGGCCCUAAGACAUGUGGACACCCGUGCCCCUGGCUCCCUCUAGUGGUGCGUGGACCCCAUCCUGAAUUUUGCUUCCUAAGCCCUGGUGUGGCUGAGGUCUGGAGUCUCUCUUAAGUUCCAGGGGCCCUGGGAGCAUCCUGACAGGUACCAGUGUCUUAUCCCAAAGGCACCGUGCACCAGGGAGGCCUGCAAGCCCUGGAGAAGGGGUUUUGCUCUUCUCUGCCUUCAGGUUCAAUUUCCUGCCAGUGCCCUGACCCCAGGCUUCUGCCUUGAAGACUGCAUUUGGGGUUUCUUGGCUUUGCUGGCCUGCCUGGCAGCCCAAGGUAAAGGGGCAGACAACUCCUGCACCGGGGCUGGAGCCGCACCGGAGCACCCCCACCCCCAGCUCUUGUCUUUCAUGUCCCAGAAAUUGUUUUGCAAAUUUUCAUCCCUACAAUUCUCAAACGACCCUGAGAAACACCACCACCACCGAUGAAAUAAACCGAAACAGCAACCACAGUCUCAAAAUUGAAGAAGGCAUAUCGGGGCAUUUGACUGACCUGACUUUUGCUGAGAAUUACGAAUUCCUUCAUUUUACAUUUUUGCUUAAAUUCUAUUUCUGUAAUCAAAGAAAUAGGGAUUUUCUGAUAUUUCUAAAACAGCACUUACGGGUUGUUUGUUAGGUUAAGUGGACUCGCACCUGGGAAGGAGCACAGUGGGGUGGCUAAGAGCGUGAGCUGUUGAUCUAGUCUACCUGCGCUCAGGGGCUGGCCCUGCUGUUGACUUCUCAUGUGGUUCUCAGCAAGUUAUUAAACAUGUGCUCCUCAGUGUCUUCAUCUGAAAAAUGUACCUGCCUGAGAUCUCCUGGGAGGGUUAACUGAGAUAUUACCUGGAACUGCCAUUACCUGACAUUCAAUAAAUGUUAGCUAUUAUUAUUAGAAUGAAGACAGCACCCAAAAACGUAC
rnacentral:lncRNA from 1 species